UAUUGAUGACAUGGCAGUAAUGGCAGGAAUAAUCUAUUGAUGACAUGGCAUUAAUGGCAGGUAGAAUCUAUUGAUGACAUGGCAGUAAUGGCAGGUAGAAUCUAUUGAUGACAUGGCAUUAAUGGCAGGUAGAAUCUAUUGAUGACAUGGCAGUAAUGGCAGGUAGAAUCUAUUGAUGACAUGGCAGUGAUGGCAGGUAGAAUCUAUUGAUGACAUGGCAGUAAUGGCAGGUAGAAUCUAUUGAUGACAUGGCAUUAAUGGCAGGUAGAAUCUAUUGAUGACAUGGCAGUAAUGGCAGAUAGAAUCUAUUGAUGACAUGGCAGUAAUGGCAGGUAGAAUCUAUUGAUGACAUGGCAGUAAUGGCAGGUAGAAUCUAUUGAUGACAUGGCAUUAAUGGCAGGUAGAAUCUAUUGAUGACAUGGCAGUAAUGGCAGGUAGAAUCUAUUGAUGACAUGGCAUUAAUGGCAGGUAGAAUCUAUUGAUGACAUGGCAGUAAUGGCAGGUAGAAUCUAUUGAUGACAUGGCAUUAAUGGCAGGUAGAAUCUAUUGAUGACAUGGCAGUAAUGGCAGGUAGAAUCUAUUGAUGACAUGGCAGUAAUGGCAGGUAGAAUCUAUUGAUGACAUGGCAGUAAUGGCAGAUAGAAUCUAUUGAUGACAUGGCAGUAAUGGCAGAUAGAAUCUAUUGAUGACAUGGCAGUAAUGGCAGGUAGAAUCUAUUGAUGACAUGGCAGUAAUGGCAGGUAGAAUCUAUUGAUGACAGAUAGAAUCUAUUGAUGACAUGGCAGUAAUGGCAGAUAGAAUCUAUUGAUGACAUGGCAGUGAUGGCAGAUAGAAUCUAUUUGUAACAAAAACAGGCAGUGUUGACCAGGACAUGAGAUGUAACAGGUAGUAUUGACCAGGACAUGAGAUGUAACAGGUAGUAUUGACCAGGACAUCAGAUGUAACAGGUAGUAUUGACCAGGACAUCAGAUGGUAGUAUUGACCAGGACAUCAGAUGUAACAGUUCAGUAUUGACCAGGACAUCAGAUGGCAGUAUUGACCAGGACAUGAGAUGUAACAGGCAGUAUUGACCAGGACAUGAGAUGUAACAGGUAGUAUUGACCAGGACAUCAGAUGUAACAGGUAGUAUUGACCAGGACAUGAGAUGUAACAGGUAGUAUUGACCAGGACAUCAGAUGUAACAGGCAGUAUUGACCAGGACAUGAGAUGUAACAGGUAGUAUUGACCAGGACAUCAGAUGUAACAGGUAGUAUUGACCAGGACAUGAGAUGUAACAGGUAGUAUUGACCAGGACAUGAGAUGUAACAGGUAGUAUUGACCAGGACAUCAGAUGUAACAGGUAGUAUUGACCAGGACAUCAGAUGGUAGUAUUGACCAGGACAUCAGAUGUAACAGGUAGUAUUGACCAGGACAUCAGAUGUAACAGGUAGUAUUGACCAGGACAUCAGAUGUAACAGGUAGUAUUGACCAGGACAUCAGAUGUAACAGGUAGUAUUGACCAGGACAUCAGAUGUAACAGGUAGUAUUGACCAGGACAUCAGAUGGUAGUAUUGACCAGGACAUCAGAUGUAACAGGCAGUAUUGACCAGGACAUCAGAUGUAACAGGUAGUAUUGACCAGGACAUCAGAUGUAACAGGUAGUAUUGACCAGGACAUCAGAUGUAACAGGUAGUAUUGACCAGGACAUCAGAUGUAACAGGUAGUAUUGACCAGGACAUGAGAUGUAACAGGUAGUAUUGACCAGGACAUCAGAUGUAACAGGUAGUAUUGACCAGGACAUCAGAUGUAACAGGUAGUAUUGACCAGGACAUGAGAUGUAACAGGUAGUAUUGACCAGGACAUGAGAUGUAACAGGUAGUAUUGACCAGGACAUCAGAUGGUAGUAUUGACCAGGACAUCAGAUGUAACAGGCAGUAUUGACCAGGACAUCAGAUGUAACAGGUAGUAUUGACCAGGACAUGAGAUGUAACAGGUAGUAUUGACCAGGACAUCAGAUGUAACAGGUAGUAUUGACCAGGACAUCAGAUGUAACAGGUAUUAUUGACCAGGACAUCAGAUGGUAGUAUUGACCAGGACAUCAGAUGUAACAGGUAGUAUUGACCAGGACAUCAGAUGUAACAGGUAGUAUUGACCAGGACAUCAGAUGUAACAGGUAGUAUUGACCAGGACAUCAGAUGUAACAGGUAGUAUUGACCAGGACAUGAGAUGUAACAGGUAGUAUUGACCAGGACAUGAGAUGUAACAGGUAGUAUUGACCAGGACAUCAGAUGUAACAGGUAGUAUUGACCAGGACAUGAGAUGUAACAGGUAGUAUUGACCAGGACAUGAGAUGUAACAGGUAGUAUUGACCAGGACAUGAGAUGUAACAGGUAGUAUUGACCAGGACAUCAGAUGUAACAGGCAGUAUUGACCAGGACAUCAGAUGUAACAGGCAGUAUUGACCAGGACAUCAGAUGUAACAGGUAGUAUUGACCAGGACAUGAGAUGUAACAGGUAGUAUUGACCAGGACAUGAGAUGUAACAGGUAGUAUUGACCAGGACAUCAGAUGUAACAGGUAGUAUUGACCAGGACAUGAGAUGUAACAGGUAGUAUUGACCAGGACAUGAGAUGUAACAGGUAGUAUUGACCAGGACAUCAGAUGUAACAGGCAGUAUUGACCAGGACAUGAGAUGUAACAGGUAGUAUUGACCAGGACAUCAGAUGGUAGUAUUGACCAGGACAUCAGAUGGUAGUAUUGACCAGGACAUCAGAUGGUAGUAUUGACCAGGACAUC